GCCAUUUUAGUUUCACUGUGGACGGCGGUGAGGCCGCCCUACGGCGGCUGUGUGACAGGCGGCCGUGGGAGCGGGUCCCAGGCCCCUGCACAAGGGCCGCGUCUAUUGCAGACCAGAUAGGAGGAGCCAGACUUGACCUUGCGUGUGGAUACCACCUACUAAUCCUGCAGAAGGAAGAGACCUUUCCUCAUCGCCAGACAGCUGACCGGCCAGUGAAAAGCCACCAUUCUUGGAACCCCAAGUUUACUCCUAUAGACUUUUCAUUUAUGACAGGCUUCCUCAAUUACCCCCCCCUUUCGCCUUAAAAAAAGGGGGGGAUGCAUGUCUCCUUCAUUCUCCCAAUGUGCCUAUAGUUUUGCCACAGCUUGUUUGUCCCAGAAUACAAUUCUCUUUCAUCCCCGGAUGAACCCAUC